GACGAACGCUGGCGGCGUGCUUAACACAUGCAAGUCGAACGGAAAGGCCCUGCUUUUGUGGGGUGCUCGAGUGGCGAACGGGUGAGUAACACGUGAGUAACCUGCCCUUGACUUUGGGAUAACUUCAGGAAACUGGGGCUAAUACCGGAUAGGAGCUCCUGCUGCAUGGGGGGGGUUGGAAAGUUUCGGCGGUUGGGGAUGGACUCGCGGCUUAUCAGCUUGUGGGUUGGGUAGUGGCUUACCAAGGCUUUGACGGGUAGCCGGCCUGAGAGGGUGACCGGCGACAAUGGGACUGAGAUACGGACCAGACUGCUACGGGAGGCAGCAGUGGGGAGUAUUGCACAAUGGGCGGAAGCCUGAUGCAGCAACGCCGCGUGCGGGAUGACGGCCUUCGUGGUAUAAACCGCUUUCGCCUGUGACGAAGCGUGAGUGACGGUAAUGGGUAAAGAAGCACCGGCUAACUACGUG
rnacentral:rRNA from 1 species